GACGAGUGGCGGACGGGUGAGUAAUGUCUGGGAAACUGCCUGAUGGAGGGGGAUAACUACUGGAAACGGUGGCUAAUACCGCAUAACGUCGCAAGACCAAAGAGGGGGACCUUCGGGCCUCUUGCCAUCAGAUGUGCCCAGAUGGGAUUAGCUUGUUGGUGAGGUAACGGCUCACCAAGGCGACGAUCCCUAGCUGGUCUGAGAGGAUGACCAGCCACACUGGAACUGAGACACGGUCCAGACUCCUACGGGAGGCAGCAGUGGGGAAUAUUGCACAAUGGGCGCAAGCCUGAUGCAGCCAUGCCGCGUGUAUGAAGAAGGCCUUCGGGUUGUAAAGUACUUUCAGCGGGGAGG
rnacentral:rRNA from 2 species